UUUCAUUCCAGAUAGAGUCAGGUUGACAACUGGGAAUAGUCAUCACAAAUAAUGACUGAAUUAGUCCUAUAAUUUACAUGUUGGGAAACAGAUAUCUUCAGAGUUCUCUGACAAGUUCUCAUGACCGAAUUAGAUUCCAGUUAACUGUAAGGAAGAAUGGUGUACUGUAAUAGAGAGGGGCAUCCAGCACAUGCAGCUAAGUGAGGGGAAAUUGGAAUGCAGUGACAGAGAGAGGAACAUCCUUAAUCAUACUUUAUUCAAUAUUAGCAUAAACUGGCAAUUAAACUGUCAUCCCUAAAUUAAAAUCCUAAUAAAAAGA
rnacentral:lncRNA from 1 species